rnacentral:rRNA from 1 species
GUACAGUACAACACUUCGCUUCGCUCCCUUCCGUUUCCCACGUGCGACUUGCUUGCCAGUUGCCCCAGUCGAGUCGCGCCGCCGAGAAGAACAGGCAGGCAGGAGGAGUAGGCGAGUGGCCAACGACUCCCUCCUCCUCCACCUCCCCCCUUCGCACCACGGGUCUCCACCGAGACCAAGCACACGCCAUUCCCCUCCUCUCCCCCGAGCUCCGAGAGAUCCCCAGACCCUACGCGCGAGUUCCCAUGGCGGCAACCCAGCUCCGCGGAUCGGCGGUGCCGGGGACGGCGAGGAGGUGGCGGGCUCCCUCCGGCGCCAUCCUCCGCUUCGCGCCGCUCGCCACGUCCAGGCUCCCAGCAGCGUCUCUUCGUCGGAGGGGAGCCUUCAGUGGCCUUUCCGCCAGUGUCACCAGGGAGCUUAUCGCCUUGCAGUCAUUGACUACAAUGUGCAUGAAGUCAAAAUGUACUAGCACUCCCAUUGAUCAUGCCACUGCUCCUGAGCAUACAGAAGAUGAAGUUCCCGAGCCAACCGCUGUGGUGACUGCUAGUGAAGAGAUAAAUAUAGACCAGGAAGUUGCUCCGCCACAUAAGAGUGCUAUAAUACAUGAUUUCUGCCUAGGGAUCCCUUUUGGUGGAUUAUUAUUUUCCAUGGGCCUUGUUGGAUUUCUAUUUUGGAGGAGUCCUGUAAGUCUUACUUUUGGCGUUGCACCUGGUCUUGCUAUAUUGGGACUUGCCGUGCUUAGUCUUAAGGGUUGGAGGAGUGGAAAGUCCAGCUUGCCAUUUAUACUGGCACAAGCAGCUGUUGCUGCUGCUGUAGCAUGGAAGCACUGCCAGGCGUAUGCCACAACAAAGAAGCUGCUUCCCUGGGGCUUUUAUACUGCGCUCAGUGUCUUGAUGAUCUGCUUCUACUCGUACGUGUUGCUUGCCGGGGGGAAUCCACCACCAAAGAAGAAGCCAGCAGCUGCUAUAUAAGUUGAGCCUUUAACUCCUAUUGUUGUUGAAGUUGUGCUCUGGUAAAUGUUACUGAUGAUAGGGGUUGCGUUUUAUUACUUUUAAUUGUAGAACACUGAAAAAUAAUAAAGUUGUGUUCUUGCGUACAGUUUAUUUGGGUAUCUUUGUUACUUAAUGGAAGAGUCAGAGAAGAUACGAUUUGCUCUGGUUCUACAUGAACUUUUGUUCCUGAACAUUGCGCUUAUACCUUAAUAAAAUGUAGCUUUGUUGAUCCUGAAAAGAUAUUGAUCAGAUUG